GUGAGGAAUUUUCCGCAAUGGGCGAAAGCCUGACGGAGCAAUGCCGCGUGAAGGAUGAAGGCCUAUGGGUUGUAAACUUCUUUUCUCAGAAAAGAAUUAUGACGGUAUCUGAGGAAUAAGCAUCGGCUAACUCUGUGCCAGCAGCCGCGGUAAGACAGAGGAUGCAAGCGUUAUCCGGAAUGAUUGGGCGUAAAGCGUCUGUAGGUUGUUUAAAAAGUAUUCUGUCAAAGAUUAGGGCUUAACCCUAGAUAGGCAGAAUAAACUUUUAAGCUAGAGUUUGGUAGAGGCAGAGGGAAUUCCCGGUGGAGCGGUGAAAUGCGUAGAUAUCGGGAGGAACACCAAAGGCGAAGGCACUCUGCUGGGCCAAUACUAACACUGAGAGACGAAAGCGAGGGGAGCAAAUGGGAUAAGAAACCCCGGUAGUCC
rnacentral:rRNA from 1 species